AUAUCUGUGGAUUAAAGGUGGCCUUUGUGCUGCCGCAGAUGGAUGAGCCUGCGUUAGAUUAGCUUGUUGGUGGGGUAAGAGCCUACCAAGGCCGCGAUCUAUAGCUGAUUUGAGAGGAUGAUCAGCCACAUUGGAACUGAGACACGGUCCAAACUCCUACGGGAGGCAGCAGUGGGGAAUAUUGGACAAUGGGCGAAAGCCUGAUCCAGCAAUACCAUGUGUGUGAAGAAGGCUCUAGGGUUGUAAAGCACUUUAGUUGGGGAGGAAAGCUUGUGAGUUAAUAGCUCAUAGGAAGGACGUUACCCAAAGAAUAAGGACCGGCUAACUCCGUGCCAGCAGCCGCGGUAAUACGGGGGGUCCGAGCGUUAAUCGGAAUUACUGGGCGUAAAGGGUCUGUAGGUGGUUUGUUAAGUCAGAUGUGAAAGCCCAGGGCUCAACCUUGGAACUGCAUUUGAUACUGGCAAACUAGAGUAUAGUAGAGGAAUGGGGAAUUUCUGGUGUAGCGGUGAAAUGCGUAGAGAUCAGAAGGAACACCAAUGGCGAAGGCAACAUUCUGGACUAAUACUGACACUGAGGGACGAAAGCGUGGGGAUCAAACAGGAUUAGAUACCCUGGUAGUCCACGCUGUAAACGAUGAGUACUAGCUGUUGGAUUCGGUGUAAAGGAUCUAGUGGCGUAGCUAACGCGUUAAGUACUCCGCCUGGGGACUACGGCCGCAAGGCUAAAACUCAAAGGAAUUGACGGGGACCCGCACAAGCGGUGGAGCAUGUGGUUUAAUUCGAUGCAACGCGAAGAACCUUACCUGGUCUUGACAUCCUGCGAACUUUCUAGAGAUAGAUUGGUGCCUUCGGGAACGCAGUGACAGGUGCUGCACGGCUGUCGUCAGCUCGUGUUGUGAAAUGUUGGGUUAAGUCCCGCAACGAGCGCAACCCCUAUUGAU
rnacentral:rRNA from 1 species